rnacentral:lncRNA from 1 species
CACUAGAUGAAUCUUGCCCCUCGCUCUGCUCCAACCCCACCACCAGUGUCUCUGCCUGCAGUGGCACCGGGACCUGCUAGUUCCUCAAGCACACCAGCACCAUCAAAUCAUUUGGGCACCCAUCCAGCCAUUGGAUGGAUGGCAGUGGAGGGUGGGGAGUGGAUUGUGCCCAGUGGAAGAGGGGGUCAUGGAGGCCGACGA